CCUACGGGAUGCUGCAGUGGGGAAUAUUGCACAAUGGGGGGAACCCUGAUGCAGCAACGCCGCGUGAAGGAAGACGGUUUUCGGAUUGUAAACUUCUAUCAAUAGGGACGAAAGAAAUGACGGUACCUAAAUAAGAAGCCCCGGCUAACUACGUGCCAGCAGCCGCGGUAAUACGUAGGGGGCAAGCGUUAUCCGGAAUUACUGGGGGGAAAGGGAGAGUAGGCGGAAUGGUAAGCCAUAUGUCAAAGACUUAGGCUUAACUUGAGUAUGGCAAAACGUACUAUCUAGCUAGAGUACAGGAGAGGAGAGCAGAAUUCCUGGUGUAGCGGUGAAAUGCGUAGAUAUUAGGAAGAAUACC
rnacentral:rRNA from 1 species